AACGUAAUGAGCCAUAACGGCGUUCAGGCUUUGUAAAUAAAUGUCAAAACACAUAGCCAGAAAUUAUUCUGAAAUGGACCAAACCCGAGUGAGUAAAGAUAUAUAGGUUAAUUAAAAAAAACACACACACACACCCACACAGUUAAAAGAAACCUUCAUUGUAUCUCCUGAGGAGAAACAACAAUAAGAAAAAAGAAUGAAGUUAUUUAUAUCCAAACUCAAAUUAUUUUUUCUUAUGGUACUUCAUUUUCGCUCUACCAUUCUUGAGGAAUAGUUCUUCAGUUUCAUGUUCAAUAAUGCUCCUUACAGAGAAUGCCAAUCUUUAUUAUUUGCUUAGAAAUAACUGGGUUUUAGUUGUCUAUUUAAACACAACGUUUUAGAAUCCGUUCUUAAAGCAUUCUCUAGCAAAGCCAAAACCGUUGGUGAAGAUCAGCCGAGAGAAUCUCCCAUAAGAAAAUGGCAACCAAAGUGUUUCCUUGCUUGAUUUUUGUAUUUGUUCUUCUGACGUUAUCUUCACUUGAAUGUGAUGCCUUUGGAAAUGGUGCCUUAUCUGGGAAAAGAUCGUUCCAGGAGAAAAGAGCAAGUAGGAUAAAUGAGGUGCAUAGUUUUGCCGUGAGACAUCAGCUUUGUGAUGCAGCCGAACGUUUGGGUUGCUGAAUGACGAUUUAACGAACACGAAAAAAGAAUUAAAAUAAAUGCGUAUUUCCUCGAAUUAAUGUCAUAAAACUAAAUAUAACUUAAGUAAUGAAAAGUGAAAGUAGAAUAAAAAUGGCUAAGAAGAAAUAUGUAACUUGAACAAGUAACUGGAAUAUCAAGCUCAGCUGCUCACUGUGUGGAAUAAAAAGAGCACAUGAA